CUGUCUUCCCUCUCUAGACUAUAAACAUAUCUGUUUUGACUUUAUCGACGGAAAUGUGAUGGAAUCAUAGCGUUUGUAAUAAAUGUUCACCUGGGUUGUGUUCUCGAGGUUCGGCUUGCCCUCUAAUUCUGUGUAAUGCAAUUCAAGACCCCGUGAAAUGUUUGUGAACACUUUUUGUGUUGUGUAAAGUGGCGGUUGAUAAUAAUUUUUUUAAUGUUUAAGCUUGAUAAUAAACUUUUUAGGCUCAAUUUUGCUAAUAAUUUUUGUUAGGUUCAAUUAGUUCAGUUAUAAGUAAGCAUCUGAUACCCAAACUUUUUUGGGUGUAGCUAAGAAUUGCAACCUGUUCCAAGUCUAAUUAGGUCCUAAAUAAAUCUCUUGAACUUAUAUCAAUCACCGAGAAGAUCCCCACGCUUCCUUUAAAUUCAAAUAUUUAUUUAUUUAUUUAUUUAUUGUUUUCUUCCUGUUCAACGUUUCUGCCUGAAUAAUUUUUACCAUUUCUCUUGCAUGCAUCCUACGAUGGUUGCCGUUAUCUACUAUUAUUCUCAGCCUAUUGGUAUGAAAACGUGGAUCAGAGCGUUACUAUAUUGUGCUCUAGCGCCAACAGUUCUAGCCGGUCAGAUUAAUCCUGCUCUCUUUGAAGCUCUUUACGCAAGUCUCGUACUGUUUUUUUAGGAUUUAUCGCUUAAUCCAUGUUUUAAGCUUUCUCAAUUUCUUGUAAAUUGUUCUUUAGAUAUUUUUACUGUCUGUCACUAAUGUAUUUGUUCAUUCCUCGAAGAAGGUAAAUAAAUGAAGAAAAAUCAUGGACUUACCUUUACGUGUUGAAAAUUUUCUCCUGUAAUAGCUCUAUACUAAAAUCUUUGCCAAUUUGGAAACUUCCUUUCAGCCAUCUCAACAUGCAGUUUUUCUCUUCUCGAGGAUCCCUCAAAUAUGGAAGAACUUUUCUGUAAGUUUAUUUGAAGGUUCUAUUAUACGAUUUCAAAUUUUCAAUUAAAUUACCCUUUGGGAAGGAAGAAAAAAAAAAAAAAGACAGGAAAAAAUAUUAAAUGAUAUUGGACGAUCUGUACCAUUGUCAUAGUUUCUCCAAUUGCAUUUCAAAAGAUUAGGAAAGUGGUUCGAAACUGAACCUUGUAAUCACGAAACCAGCUGUUGUCAUGUUAACCAAUGACCGUUCAAGUGAGAGUUUACCUUUCCUUUUGAGCAUAGGUUUUUUGCCUUUUGGAUUAACCCAAUAGGCCUCGUACCAACAAAGCUAUCAUUCCUCACUUAUGUACUCAUGAUCUCUCCCUUAUCUAGCCAAUAUAGAAUUUUAGUUGCAUUCCCAACAUUUAUAAAUAAUCUUUUCUUUGGUUUGAUGAUAUCAUGUCUUAACCGUAUUUUGUUUUGUUUUGAUAUCUUCCAUGAAAGUACUCAUUCAAAAAAAAAAGUAAUCCUCUGUAAUGAACAAAAGUUCUGGGAGCUUAGCCUUUUAACAUCCAUGAUGAACUUUGGAGGUUCUAUGGUGAGGGUUUUCACCAGCAUACAAGAAAACGCACCAAGCAGUGGUAUCCUCUUUUUAAAAUUUAUUUUUAUUUUUUCCUUUCCGCACUUUUAUUAUUUGGGUAGUAGUUUCAGUGAUAACAUCUUAUAAGAAUUCAAGAAUCAGUCUCAUGCAUGAAGUUUUGGUCUUUUCUAGGUUCAGCCUUUGCUCGAACACUUUCUCCGAGUUUACUAACAAAUUCUCAUUUCUUUGUAGUCAUCGGUUAUACUACUUGAAAAAUAUAAACUUGAUGGAAAAAUUCAAACACUCCCUUUUUCUGUUUGUAAAAAUGCACUGCUGCAUCAGUCCUCUCUAGGUCUUUGAAAACCUACUCCCACAGGUUUUAUGAGUAACCUCUCGUUCUUUUUUGUUGUUAAUAUAAUCCAUUCAAGUUAUUUUCCUAGAUAUUUAUUCAUUUUGAUAAACCGUGGUCCUUAAAGCUUGUCAAAGUUCUCUUGGGAUCGGCAUUUUCCAUUGUGACACACAGUACCAUUUUGAGUCGGAUAAUUGUAUACCAGAAGAGGGAUGUAAAGAAAGAGAAGAAAACAGAGUAGAGGAUGACGACUUGCAGUUGUGACUUUGGCAUACUGAAGAUUAAAUAUUGUAUGUAGUGAGUAUAGGUGAACCAAUGUCAACCCUUUUCGAGAUUAUCAUUUUACUACUAGAAAUCCCUAGUUUUCCUUUCUUUUCUUUUGGAAUAUGACUUAUGAGGGCACAUUGAUAGCUGGAAUUAUUGUAGGUUUGGACUGUGAUCUCCACCGGAUUGCAGUCCCGCAUAACUUUAUAUAUGUGAUGUUUUUGUUGUACUGGUUCUGGAUUGUCAUGAUAAUUCUGAAGGGAAAGGAAUGGGUUGUCAACUCAUUUCUCA